rnacentral:misc_RNA from 1 species
AGACAUAAGUUUCCAAGCCUCUUCUCUCUCUGCAUAUCGAAAUGCGGCAACCAUUUUUGCAUUAGCCUGAGUAACUGGCAAUUUUCCCAACAAAGUGGGUAUAUAUGGAGAAGGUUGAAGAACAUGAAGAAUACAAAUCUCAGAAUUCCCAAAUGUCUUACAAGCCCACUGAACCAAAGCAACACCUUUGUCAACAUAUUUACCCACAGCUACAAAUACUUUAGACCCUUGUAGUUGUUCUUCUUCUUCCACCACAACUUCUCUUGAUUGAGGAGCAACGAUUUGGCUUGUCCUGUAAAACCCACGUCGGAAACUGGGCAUUGAAGAAUACCCAGACGGGAAAUUUGGA